rnacentral:rRNA from 3 species
CAAAACGACUCUCGGCAACGGAUAUCUCGGCUCUCGCAUCGAUGAAGAACGUAGCGAAAUGCGAUACUUGGUGUGAAUUGCAGAAUCCCGUGAACCAUCGAGUCUUUGAACGCAAGUUGCGCCCCAAGCCGUUAGGCCGAGGGCACGUCUGCCUGGGUGUCACGC